GGUAGCCAAAUGCCUCGUCAUCUA
rnacentral:ncRNA from 9 species